AUUGAACGCUGGCGGCAUGCCUUACACAUGCAAGUCGAGCGGCAGCGGACCUUCGGGUGCCGGCGAGUGGCGAACGGGUGAGUAAUAUAUCGGAACGUACCUUUCAGUGGGGGAUAACGUAGCGAAAGUUACGCUAAUACCGCAUAUUCUGUGAGCAGGAAAGCAGGGGAUCGCAAGACCUUGCGCUGAUUGAGCGGCCGAUAUCAGAUUAGCUAGUCGGUGAGGUAAAGGCUCACCAAGGCGACGAUCUGUAGCGGGUCUGAGAGGAUGAUCCGCCACACUGGAACUGAGACACGGUCCAGACU
rnacentral:rRNA from 1 species